rnacentral:rRNA from 1 species
AUUGAACGCUGGCGGCAUGCUUUACGCAUGCAAGUCGAACGGGCUUAGGGGCUUGCUCCUAAGUUAGUGGCGAACGGUGAGUAAUACAUCGGAACGUACCGUGUAGUGGGGGAUAACGUAGCGAAAGUUACGCUAAUACCGCAUACGAUCUACGGAUGAAAGUGGGGGACCUUCGGGCCUCACGCUAUACGAGCGGCCGAUGUCUGAUUAGCUAGUUGGUGAGGUAAAGGCUCACCAAGGCAACGAUCAGUAGCGGGUCUGAGAGGAUGAUCCGCCACACUGGGACUGAGACACGGCCCAGACUCCUACGGGAGGCAGCAGUGGGGAAUUUUGGACAAUGGGCGAAAGCCUGAUCCAGCCAUGCCGCGUGUCUGAAGAAGGCC